UACGAGGGGGGCUAGCGUUGCUCGGAAUCACUGGGCGUAAAGCGCACGUAGGCGGCUUUCUAAGUCAGGGGUGAAAUCCUGGAGCUCAACUCCAGAACUGCCUUUGAUACUGGAGAGCUAGAGUCCGGAAGAGGUGAGUGGAACUGCGAGUGUAGAGGUGAAAUUCGUAGAUAUUCGCAAGAACACCAGUGGCGAAGGCGGCUCACUGGUCCGGUACUGACGCUGAGGUGCGAAAGCGUGGGGAGCAAACAGG
rnacentral:rRNA from 1 species